UACGGAGGGUGCAAGCGUUAUCCGGAUUCACUGGGUUUAAAGGGCGCGUAGGCGGGAUAGCAAGUCAGUCGUGAAAUCUCUCGGCUCAACCGAGAAACGUCGGCUGAUACUGCCGUUCUUGAGGGAUGCAGAGGAGACUGGAAUUCCCGGUGUAGCGGUGAAAUGUGUAGAGAUCGGGAGGAACACCGGUGGCGAAGGCGGGUCUCUGGGCAUUUCCUGACGCUGAGGCGCGAAAGCGUGGGGAGCAAACGGG
rnacentral:rRNA from 1 species